rnacentral:rRNA from 1 species
GAUGAACGCUGGCGGCGUGCUUAACACAUGCAAGUCGAACGGAAAGGCCCAAGCUUGCUUGGGUGCUCGAGUGGCGAACGGGUGAGUAACACGUGGGUGAUCUGCCCUGCACUUUGGGAUAAGCCUGGGAAACUGGGUCUAAUACCGGAUAGGACCAUCGUUUAGUGUCGGUGGUGGAAAGUUUUUCGGUGUGGGAUGAGCUCGCGGCCUAUCAGCCUGUUGGUGGGGUAAUGGCCUACCAAGGCGUCGACGGGUAGCCGGCCUGAGAGGGUGUACGGCCACAUUGGGACUGAGAUACGGCCCAGACUCCUACGGGAGGCAGCAGUGGGGAAUAUUGCACAAUGGGCGCAAGCCUGAUGCAGCGACGCCGCGGGGGGGAUGACGGCCUUCGGGUUGUAAACUCCUUUCGCCAAGGACGAAGCGUUUUGUGACGGUACUUGGAGAAGAAGCACCGGCUAACUACGUG